rnacentral:rRNA from 1 species
UGGGGAAUAUUGGACAAUGGGGGGAACCCUGAUCCAGCCAUGCCGCGUGUGUGAAGAAGGCCUUAUGGUUGUAAAGCACUUUAAGCGAGGAGGAGGGUACUGGUAUUAAUACUACCAGGUACUGGACGUUACUCGCAGAAUAAGCACCGGCUAACCCUGCGCCAGCAGCCGCGGUAAUACAGAGGGUGCGAGCGUUAAUCGGAUUUACUGGGCGUAAAGCGUGCGUAGGCGGCUAAUUGAGUCGGAUGUGAAAUCCCCGAGCUUAACUUGGGAAUUGCAUUCGAUACUGGUUAGCUAGAGUGUGGGAGAGGAUGGUAGAAGUCCAGGUGUGGCGGUGAAAUGCGUAGAGAUCUGGAGGAAUACCGAUGGUGAAGGCAGCCAUCUGGACUAACACUGACGCUGAGGUACGAAAGCAUGGGGAGCAAACAGG